UCUGAAGUAGCAAGAGCCAUAUUGUUGUCAGAUGCCUUGCUUGAGCGAAUGUGCCUUCUCUGGGGUCUGAAGAGAGGCCAGCGUGUCCCAAAGGCAAGCCCACGGGGGAAUUUCCAGGAGAGAGGAAGGAGACAGGGGAGCAGCAGAUUUAAGACUAAGUGGAUUAUGACACCAUGUGAUGACAUGGUAACUGGAUCACACCAUUCCUCUCCACUGCCCUUGUCUGGGGGAUGGUGGGCGGGCCACUGUUCCCAUGUGAGGGACGGUGAAUGGAUAACUCUAAACGUAGUGACUCAGGCUCACAGCAGUGUAUACAUCGACAUACACAGAAAAUCAGGGACGGCGGUGGUGGUGAGAGUUGGUGUAUCCUGGAGUUACGACUUGAGCAUAAUUUCUUCAGUGCUUGGUGGGAUUUCGGAUUUCUUUGGCUCUCCUAAAUCAUCUUAAUGUCUUCCCUUCUGACUCUGUGGUCAUUUUGAAACAUGGCUGCAUGUUCUUUGACACAUCGUCCAUCAACAGUCAAGAUCUACGUACCCUCCGCUUGGAUCUGAGCAGGCUUGGGGACUGCUUAAACUGAAAGGGUACCACAGAAGUGGCACCAUGUGACUUCCAACGCUAAGUCACAGAAGACCAUGCAGGUUCCACUUUGUUCACUGAAACAGUUGUUCUUGGAGAUCGGGUCCACCAUGUAAAGAGGUCUGGUUACUCUGAGGUCACCACAUUGUCAAGAAGCCUAAGGUACAUGGAGAGGCCAUGUGUAGGUGCUUCCAUCAACAGGUCCCAGCUGGGCCUUGAAUCAUCCCAGUUGAGGUGCCAAACGUUUGAGUUCAGAAGCCUCCAGCAAAUUCCAGCCCCUCGCCAUCUGAGCCUUCUAGCAGAGCUCCAGAAAUUGUGGAGCUGAGACAAGUCAUCCUUUCUGUUUACUGUAUGAAUUCCCGACUCUCAAAAUCUUUGAAUCUGAUAAAAAUGAUUGUUUUACUCUGAUAAGUUUGGGAGGGUUUUCAGGCAUCAAUAGAUAAUUGGAAUAGACGUCAAAGAUGCUUUAAUGACAGCCAUCA
rnacentral:lncRNA from 1 species